GCAGCAGCUUCCAGAUGAUGGCACAGGACUUGAACCAGGGUUUUCCUGUAUGGUUCUAUGUGUGCUCUACCCAGUGAAGCCCCUGCUGACUACGUCCAGAGACGCCAGACCUGGGCUGUCAACCCUUUGGCUCCAAUACUCCGGUGAGAACUUUCUUACGUCACAGGACUCUUCAAUUCCAUUCCGGCUUCCAGGCAGAGAGCAUGAGCUGCUGUGGACAUAGUGGAAACUGAGAUCCAAGCACCCAAGGACUCUGCAGAUGGGCUAUCAGCAGAAAGACAAGCACAGCAAGGAGAAUUCUGGACAUAACCGUGGUGGAGCCGCACAGGGCAAAGAAAGAAAGCGUGGCAGACCCUGCUGGCUGAAAGAAAACAUGGCUCUGUGUGUUAGAGGGAGAGAGGGAACUUCAUCUGCUCUGAGAGCUGGCACAGUGGAGUUGAAAGGCAGGCAUAGAGCAGACGCUAGUAUCAGGACCGGAGGAUUUGCCUCACACUGGCCACUUAAAAAUACAGGAUGCUUGUCUGUGAGGCCCAUGUCUGAGUCCAUGUGUCUCUGGAAUUACACACAUUCUUUAGGCAGAAGGUCCAUAUGUCUUGGGGCAGAAGGCCUAUUCCAGGUGAGAGGAAAAGCGAAAUAAGAGACAAAGGCCAAGGCUGGUCAGUGUCACACCUGCUUGAACGCAUGCAUAUAUUACCAGGCACGAGGACUUAGGUUCAAGCCCCCGCUCCCUAUCUGUAGGAGGGAAGAUGUGAAGUGGAUAGAUUCAUACUGCUGACACGGAAUUCCAGCAAUAACCCCGGUGGCAUAAA